CGACUUCAAUUUUUCAAGUUAAGGCCAUCUUAAGAAAAAAACCCAAAAUUCUAAAAAAUAGCCUAUAGGAGGACAUACUGUAUGCAUUAUGAUGAUAAAUGUUUAUUCAUUUAUUUUUCUAGGAUUUAGCUGAUGCUAUUUUUUGGGUUGGGUAAUACUUUAUGGAGAAAUGAAUCAAUCAGGAAGACUACCUCUAAUGUUAACAUUUGUAUGAGGAAGCAUCUCUUUACAUUAACUGAUUAUACUUCUUUUCAACUCUUCUUGGUCCCUCCUACCAUAUCCAGUUAAUGAUAGGACUAACAAAAUGGAUAAUGUUACAGAAAUCGUGAUCAAUGAUUCUGUUGAUAUCAACAUUGAUUUUGAUUUCACUGUCAUUAACACUGGUCCCUUGCCUAGGGCUAUAUCUGUACUUGGAUAUGUAUCUUCUAAUUUUCCUGAUGCUCCUUUAAGAGAAUUAUUUGAUUUCACUGGUGAAUAUGACAUUUUUAUUGAAAAUCUCUUACAAAAUAAUG